CGGGCGAUUCGGCCCGUUUGCGCCGGUCUCGAAAACCUGUAUGGGCUUUCAGUCCAUCGGGGGUUCGAAUCCCCCCGCUCU
rnacentral:tRNA from 1 species